rnacentral:rRNA from 1 species
GAUGAACGCUGACAGAAUGCUUAACACAUGCAAGUCAACUUGAACUUCGGUUUGGGUGGCGGACAGGUGAGUAACGCGUAAAGAACUUGCCUCACAGAUAGGGACAACAUUUGGAAACGAAUGCUAAUACCUGAUAUUAUGAUUAUAUGGCAUCGUAUAAUUAUGAAAGCUAUAUGCGCUGUGAGAGAGCUUUGCGUCCCAUUAGCUAGUUGGAGAGGUAACGGCUCACCAAGGCGAUGAUGGGUAGCCGGCCUGAGAGGGUGAUCGGCCACAAGGGGACUGAGACACGGCCCUUACUCCUACGGGAGGCAGCAGUGGGGAAUAUUGGACAAUGGACCAAGAGUCUGAUCCAGCAAUUCUGUGUGCACGAUGAAGUUUUUCGGAAUGUAAAGUGCUUUCAGUUGGGAAGAAAAAAAUGACGGUACCAACAGAAGAAGUGACGGCUAAAUACGUG